rnacentral:tRNA from 1 species
GUUAUGGGGGCUCAGUGGUAGAGCACUUACCUAGUAUGCGUGAGGUACUGGGUUUGAUCCCCAGCAUCACA